rnacentral:misc_RNA from 1 species
GAUGAAGAACGCAGCGAAAUGCGAUACUUGGUGUGAAUUGCAGAAUCCCGUGAACCAUCGAGUCUUUGAACGCAAGUUGCGCCUCAAGCCAUUAGGUUGAGGGCACGUCUGCCUGGGCGUCACAUAUCGUUGCCUGAUGCCAGUUUCCUCGUGAUGGGUGACUGUGCAGGGCGAAUGAUGGCUUCCCGUGAGCAUUGUUGCCUCAUGGUUGGUUGAAAAUUGAGUCCUUGGUAGGGAGCGCCGUGAUAGAUGGUGGUUGAGUGACGAACGAGACCCAAUCAUGUGAGACCCCUACCGAAUUUGGCCUUCAUGACCCACAUGCCUCUUUGGAACGCUCAUGACGAGACCUCAGGUCAGGCGGGGCUACCCGCUGAGUUUAAGCAUAUCAAUAAGCGGAGGA